rnacentral:rRNA from 1 species
CACACCGCCCGUCACAUCACGAAAGUUGUCUGUACCGGAAGCCGGUGGGCUAACCCGCAAGGGAGGCAGCCGUCCAUGGUAUGGAGAGCGAUUGGGGUG